rnacentral:lncRNA from 1 species
GUUUGAGUUUAUUUAUUUGCGUUCUGUUACCUUUUCUCAGGCCAACAAUGAAGGGUGUGUUGUUGAUGUUUCGAGGGAUUGCUGCUGAUAUAGCAAUUCCUCCUUUGUCCUGAUUCCAGUUUUCAUGAAGAAAAUACUGCAGCAGUUCCUCAUGUGGCUUUCAAGUUUGAGUUUAUUUAUUUGUGUCCUGUUAUGUAUGACCCUUUUCUCAGGCCAACGAUGAAGGGUGUGGUGUUGAUGUUAGAAGGAGUUACUGAUAUAGCAAUUCCUCCUUGUCCAGAUUCCGGUUAUGCAUAA